rnacentral:rRNA from 1 species
UACGUAGGGCGCAAGCGUUAUCCGGAAUUAUUGGGCGUAAAGAGCUCGUAGGCGGUUUGUCGCGUCUGCCGUGAAAGUCCGGGGCUCAACUCCGGAUCUGCGGUGGGUACGGGCAGGCUAGAGUGAUGUAGGGGAGACUGGAAUUCCUGGUGUAGCGGUGAAAUGCGCAGAUAUCAGGAGGAACACCGGUGGCGAAGGCGGGUCUCUGGGCCGAUAUUGACGCUGAGGAGCGAAAGCGUGGGGAGCGAACAGG